rnacentral:lncRNA from 1 species
GGGCGGGCGGAGGCGGGCGGGCAGCGCUGAGCCCCGCGGAGCGUGCAGCCGCACCAGCAUGGCCGAGCGCCGGGCGGACCGGCACGCCGGCACCGCGGGACACGCGUGUCCCUGAACGGCGACAGCCGGCGCGGCGAGCGCUCGGAACCGCCCUGGCCCGGGCUGGGCAACUCCCUCCGCAGCGAUCGCAGCGCAGCCCGGCGGGACGGGGCGGGGCAGGGCAGGGCAGGGCAGGGCAGGGAGGAGCGGGGAGGCGGCACCGCCGUGGGGGCCGAAGCCGGAGCCGGAACCGGAGUGGGCGGUGGUGUUGGAGUGGCCGCUCGCCCCGUGUUCGUGUCCCCCGGUUCAGUCGGGUGAUGCGCUGAGCGCUGGGCGCGGUGUUUGCUGGGGCACUGCCCAGGGAGCACACGCUCGCACGGCGGAGCGGCUGCGGUUCCCUCCUGGCGCUGACGGCACCGUUCCCGCCGGGCAAGCCCCGCCACGUCUCUGCCCGGUUCCCCACGGCAUCCGAGUGCGGCCCCGGCGCUCCGCCUGGGCGUCGCUCGGUCCCCGGCAGCUCCUCCGUGGGGCGCGCCGCGUUCCGCUGCUGCAGGAGGACGUGCCCGUAGUUGUGCGGAGUGGAUGCAAAGCGGCAAGUUUUCCACGAGGGAACAACGGGACAGUGUUACCUAUUUACUCUCCUGUCUGUCACGGCCCCUAGUGGCUCAGAGGCACCCAGACAGCGCCGUGGGCCCGGCAGCAGCAGCCCGGAGAAGGGUGAAGUGCUGCAGGGCAAACUGUGGGCAUGGGUGAAGUGAUGGGGCCUGGGAAGCCUGGGCGUGUUCAACAGCUCUGUGAGCCAAAACAAGUUCCAGCAAAUCCCAUCAUAUAUUUCUUGCAAGAUUGGUCAUGCUUAUAAUUUUCAAUAAAAAUAUUUUUGUUGACUGAAAGGAAAAAUGU